AAUCGGGGAUUUAAUAAUGUUGUCAGAGAGGUGGUGGUUUAGCAGAAGAAGGAUGAUCUUCCCUUUUGCAGUAACCAUCCCCCGGAAGUGAAUCGGCAGACUCAGCGACCCUGGAAAUCGCUAACAAUAAAUGGCAGUGAGCAGUAAAGCAUCAGAAUGAACAACACAUCAAACCUUGAGAUGGACGGACGACAUCAGCAGAAGACAACUUCAGGUUCCACUCCUGUCAGAUAAGAGCAGAAACCUGAGGCUGCAGCGGACACAGGCUCACCAAAACUGGACAGAUGAAGACUGGAAAGACAUAGUCUGGUCUGAAGAAUCUGGAUUUCUACUGAGGCAGCAGAUGGUUGGGACAGAAUUUAACAUCAACAGCAUAAAUCUGUGGAUUCAACCUGCCUUGUGUCCACAAUCAAGGCUGGUUAAAGCGGUGUGAUGGUGACUUGACUUUGGACCUUAAUACCAAUUAUUCAUGGUUUGAAUGCAAUAAUUUAAUCUUAAUAUAAUUACCUUUACUAAUAUAUGAUAAAAAAAAAUGACAAAAUUUGUUUGUACACUAAACGUGAACCAAACCAAAUUCAAUUUGAGAUACUGUGACCAUAAAGACAUAAACCAAACUAAAAUCAUCUGAACAGAAUCUUAUUAAAUGUUUAACUGCAGAAGUCACUUUACUAUUACUUGUUCAUGCUAUUGAAGCUGCUUUUAGAGAGAUUUUGGUAAGGAUUCAUUUGAUAUUAGGCUUAUUAUCAAGUCUCUUGCAUCUCUUGUUUUAACAGACUUGAAAAAAUGUGGACAUCUCCUUUAAGAGUCCGUUCUGUAUGUCAGAGCUUGCCAAAAGUAGGGCUUUUCUUAUUGGCGCAGAUACUCAGCAGUUCCCAUUAGAGCCAAAUGUUAGCUGAGGCCAGAAAAAGUGCCGUCUAUCAUUAGUAAUGAAUCUGUCAUGAAACCACACGCACCACUGACAACCGUGGCUGACAAUAGCCUGCAGUGAAAACCAUCCAGUGUUAAGACAAGUGGUCAGAGCAGAUACAGCAGAUACAAGUACUUUAACUGAUCAAGAUCUGGGUCAUCUCUGAUGUUCACUUAUACCUACUGUAUUUACUGCAUAUUUUAGUUUUAUGCUGUUUACGGUGAAUUUACUAUUAUAUGUGUUUAUCAACAACGGCAGACAUUUUAAUUAUAGCUGAAAAAACAAACGAAAUGAAAUAUAUCUGUAACUAUUUGAUAAUCUAUCAAUCAUUUUAAUUUAAUUAUCACUGUAAAAUGAAUAUCUUUGGGUUUUGGAUUGUUUUUCUGAGACGUAUAAAACAUCCAUCUUAGACUCUGAAAUUAUGUCAUAUUUUUCACAAUGUUUUGACAUUUUAUGGACAAAAUGACAAAUUGGUAAUGAAAAUAAUCCUUAGUUUAAUCCACAGACAAAAUACAUGUAGUAAAAUUAGCUGUGAUGAAAACAAUGUACACCUUCGUUUUCAUAAGGGUGGUUUAUUUUAAUUGUCUGUAUACAAUAUGAACAGGAGUCUAUAUUGAUAUCCAUAUGUGUAAAUCCAACGCUUCAUUACACUCGUUCAUCCUCCCACAGGAGGUUUUGAAGCAGACUCACCAGGACUUAAACCAUGGCACACAGUCCCCGAAGACCCUCCCCUCCCCUCCCCAUCCCUCCGUCUGCCCACUAUUAUUCCCUUUAUCCACGAUUUUUAAACUCCAAAACCUUCUUUUAAAUAUACUGCAAAGAUUGUACAGAAUAUAGAAAUCCACACGUUAAACUAAAGUACACACAUUAUUUUUACUUUAUCCCUGGUAUAAACCAACACAUAAGUCGCAACUUUGAGGCUACUUGGAUUAAUCUGCUGAAUGUCUGAUGUGGACCAGGAGGAGGCUAAAAUCCAGUGAGGAUAUCAGAAGGCCAAUUCUUCAAUAAAAAAUAAAAAAUAACAAUACUUUUGUUAGAUCUAUCGCACAGUAACUAAUGCAGCUAGUUUGUGGCAAGUGAGCAAUAUAAUGCGUUGAAGUCUUGUCGGGUUAAAACCUUGUGACAAUCCAUCUGUAACUGAAACUAAAGUGCUUGCAAAAUACAGCAAGCUCAUUCAUAGUGAAUACAAAAGCAUGUAACAUAAGCACUAUACAGUUUUCAAUGUUUACAUAAGCGUAUACACACAAUCUAUAAUAUAACAGAGUAGACUAUGCCAUGAAUCAGUAGUCAUAAAUAUUACAUUGUGCAUGUUCUAUUGCACAUGUCAAGUGUUUGUAUGACAUGAUAGGUAUGGGUUAGUUACCUAGAUGUCAUUUGUUUUAAUACAAAGAUGCAACAACACAGAUUUCAUAGGACACAGGCUAUACAUUUUCACAAAUCCACUUGUUUUUUUCUUCUUCUUAGGAUGUUUCCCUAAAUAAACCAAACCUAUAAUACAACAGUGAUAUUAAAGUGUGAUAAAUAUUCAUGCACAAACAGAUGAUACUACCUAAGGUCUAGUAUGUGAAAAUAUACUGCUGCACAAGCCGGCCGCUGAAUACGGAUGGGAGGGUUUCAGCUACACUGGACAUGAAAUUAACAAUAACACAAAAGGAGUGAUCGGUUAAAAAAAAAAAAAAAAAAAAAAAAGGCACAUGGAUUUCAGAGGAGCUUAACAUGAACACA